rnacentral:piRNA from 1 species
UCCAUCCAUCUAAAAAUAAAA